rnacentral:rRNA from 1 species
AUUGAACGCUGGCGGCAUGCCUUACACAUGCAAGUCGAACGGCAGCACGGACUUCGGUCUGGUGGCGAGUGGCGAACGGGUGAGUAAUGUAUCGGAACGUACCUGUCAGUGGGGGAUAACGUAGCGAAAGUUACGCUAAUACCGCAUAUUCUGUGAGCAGGAAAGCAGGGGAUCGAAAGACCUUGCGCUGAUUGAGCGGCCGAUAUCAGAUUAGCUAGUUGGUGGGGUAAAGGCCUACCAAGGCGACGAUCUGUAGCGGGUCUGAGAGGAUGAUCCGCCACACUGGAACUGAGACACGGUCCAGACUCCUACGGGAGGCAGCAGUGGGGAAUUUUGGACAAUGGGGGCAACCCUGAUCCAGCCAUGCCGCGUGAGUGAAGAAGGCCUUCGGGUUGUAAAGCUCUUUCGGCCGGGAAGAAAUCGCAUAGGCUAAUACCCUGUGUGGAUGACGGUACCGGAAUAAGAAGCACCGGCUAACUACGUG